AUACGGAGGGUGCAAGCGUUAUUCGGAAUCACUGGGCGUGAAGGACGCGUAGGCGGGUUGGCAAGUCAGAUGUGAAAUCCUACAGCUUAACUGUAGAACUGCAUUUGAAACUGCUAACCUAGAGUAUGGGAGGGGGAGAUGGAAUUAGUGGUGUAGGGGUAAAAUCCGUAGAUAUCACUAGGAAUACCGAAAGCGAAGGCGAUCUCCUGGAACAUAACUGACGCUAAGGCGUGAAAGCGUGGGGAGCAAACAGGAUUAGAAACCCUAGUAGUCC
rnacentral:rRNA from 1 species